GAGAGCCCGUCGCGGGAAAACCGCACACCGGGUUCGGAGGGAGGGGACGGUGGUGCCGUUUCCUACCCCUAU
rfam:Gallionellales bacterium RIFOXYB12_FTLL_54_9 rifoxyb3_full_scaffold_6288, whole genome shotgun sequence.